rnacentral:rRNA from 1 species
CCUACGGGGGGCAGCAGUGGGGAAUAUUGCGCAAUGGGCGAAAGCCUGACGCAGCGACGCCGCGUGAGGGAUGAAGGUCUUCGGAUCGUAAACCUCUGUCAGCAGGGAAGAACGGUCACUGUGCUAAUCAGCAGUGAAUUGACGGUACCUGCAAAGGAAGCACCGGCUAACUCCGUGCCAGCAGCCGCGGUAAUACGGAGGGUGCGAGCGUUAAUCGGAAUUACUGGGCGUAAAGCGCUCGUAGGCGGUAUGUCAAGUCAAGGGGGAAAUCCCCGCGCGCAACGUGGGAACUGCCUUUGAAGCUGGCAAACUGGAGUGUGUGAGAGGAUAGUGGAAUUCCAGGUGUAGGAGUGAAAUCCGUAGAUAUCUGGAGGAACAUCAGUGGCGAAGGCGACUAUCUGGCACAUAACUGACGCUGAGGAGCGAAAGCGUGGGUAGCAAACAGGAUUAGAUACCCCAGUAGUC